rnacentral:lncRNA from 1 species
AAAAAAAAAAAAAAAAUAUUUUAGCUAAGCUUUGGUAAAGAAGCUAGUGAGUGAUGUUUUGGCCUCGUUUGGUAAAAAACCUGGCGGUUCCUUUGUUUUAUUAAGACUCGGUCAAGAGUUUAAAUAGCUAAGCUUUGGUAAAGGAGCGGUUUAUGUGCUUGAGUGUUUCUGUGUGUGUGAUUUGAUUUAUUAUAAGCCGGCAUUUAUUUUAAGAACUUUGUGAUUUAAUUACAUCUGUAUUUUGUGCUUUUGUCUGUGUAUGUCUUGUUGGGUACCAUAUAUGUUAAUUGUAAUCUAUACAAUUUGUAUCGUUACUCUCCUAUUCUAUCUUUUGUCCUAAGGAGAGCUGUGCUUAGGCAAUCACAUGGUUAAAAAACUUUGUGCUUGCAAGUCUUCCUCCCUCCUCCCCCCUCCUUCUUUGUUGCUUUCUCUUGCUCUGACUGCUAUGAGUAUUGGCUACAGGGGGGUGAAUGGGUGAAAUGCUUGUAAACUCAGUGAGGAAUGUGAGGGAAACAAGGUAUAUUUGCUGGACGAAUAACCUAGUUAGGAACUUUGUGUAAUCUUGUAUAUGUUGUUAAGCAAGAGGUUAUUGGCAUGUUGGAAUAAGGAAAGUUAGAUUUUGUUGGAACAAAUGAAUUGUGGAAUUUAUAAAUGAUAUCGCAGAGAAAAGUAAAUUGCAGUUUGCAUUUAAUAGCAGCUAUUCAGAUGCUGUUUUGUGGCAAUCUUUAUACACACAAUGUGAAAUUGCCAAUAGUGAAAUUGACAAGAAAUUGUUUGUUAAUAAGAAAAAAAAAACAAAAGAUCAGAAAUGUUAUGAAACUAGUCUGUACUUACAAUGCAUUGAUUUGUAAACGAAAUGCAGAUCAAGAAAAUUUAGAAUCAUCAGAAAAAGAAGUAGAUUUGAAUGGGUUAACAGAAGACAAAUCAGAUUUAAAUGAACAGUGUAACAAUGUAACAGAGAGCACAUUGUCAGAAACAGUUUGUGAAUUAGAGGAUAGAGUUGAACUAAGAAAUGAUCUUAUUUGCCAGCUUAGAAAUGAAGUAAAGCUAGUGUGUGUUAAUACAAGAAAAAUACAGGCACAGAAUCUAAUCCCAGAACCAAUAGAUACUGAAAAUGUAUCCUCACAGAGUGAUUUGCAGAAAUAUAAAUUUCAAGACAGAGCUGCAAAACUUAAUUUGAAGAUCCAUGAACAAUUAAUGAAAAUUGUGAAAUGUAUUCCAGUUUAUGACACGUCAGUGGAUGCAUUCACUAAUGCUGAAAUGUUUGAGUCUAAUUUAGACAAAUACAGCCUAAAUGACGAACAAAGGAAUAGACUAUUUCAAAUAUGGCUGCCGACUCAAAUGGCAUGUAGGCUGACCGCGAUUGUAAAAUUUGAGGACAAUGGUGAAAUAAUAUAUGGAAAUAAGCGAGACAGAUUAACACAAUUAAUAAAAUUAACAACAGGGAAUGAUUUUGCAGACACUGAAAUGUUGGAAAAACUAAAACCACACAAGGGGGAGGAUAUAUUUAGUUUUCUUGUAAAAUUUGAAAAUGCAUAUAGACUUGUUGCUGAUUUUUCUGAAGAUCAGUUAAUUAAUGAAUUUGUGAAAAAAUUUCAAGAUCUAGAUCCAACUGCAAUUGUGGUAGCUAGAGAAAAAAGCACUUUGACAGAAGUAGCUUUGUUCUUGGAUAACUUAAGGAGGGAAACCAAGAAUGAAGGGGUUAAAACGACUUGUGGCUUUAGGCAGAGAAAGAAGUGCAGAUGUUACAGCCCCCGUCCCCCUUCUUCUUCUUCUUCUUCUUCUAGGACAGAGUGUAGAGUGAUACAGACAGCUGAGCCCCUCCCAAUUUAUUCAACUAAAUAUAGGGCAGUUGAUAAUAUAGGGCAGAAUAUAACUCCUAAAGUUAUUUGUUUUUGGUGCAAUAAACAACAUUAUUUAAGAUCUUGCAGAUAUUUUAUCCGAGAUAUCAAAUCAAAAGCAAAUGAGAAAUUAAAUUUGUUGAUUGAAAAUUUUGACAGAGAAAAUACAUGUGGAGAUAAAUCAAUUAAAGCCUUUCCUUGUAAACUUAUAAUCAGACAAAUAAAAGCAAUUUUAGCUAAAUCGAAAUUAGGGGACAGACAAGCAAUGCAGCGUAACACAGAAAGUUAUAAGAAUCAGAUAACUUCAAGAGAUAUGAUCAGUUUAGGGAAUGAGCAUGGAUAUGUCUGCCAACAGAGGUACACAGGCUGAUUCCAGAAUUAAGAACAGCCAAGAAUAGAGUUCUAUGUUAGUUUGUUUUAAUGAAAUGUUAGUCUGAACUGUUUUUUUUCAUUGUUUUAUAUGUAUUUUAAGAAAGUAUUAGGUUAAUUAAUUAAAAUAAAAAUGUACAUCAAGUUUGCAAAUAUGGCAGAAUGAAAUACACUAAUGUAGCAGUGAGGAACAUGCAAUGUAUGUUAUAUUGGGUGUAUGCAAUUAUACAGUAACUCCAAUCAUUUUACAGAAGGUAAAAACAAUGUUGUUACUUCUGAGGUUGAUUUAAAAUCUUUGAUUUAAUUAAUGAGAAUGAGAUUUUACUAUCAUGACUGAUAAUGGAUUACUGUAUAUUGCAACGCCUGGACAUACACAUGGUUUGGAUAUACUGAAGACAAAAGGAAUAAUAUAUGGGAAUGGAUAAGGCUGAUUUCCCCCUAUCCACAGCCACGCCUACUCCUAAAGUAACAUCGCGUACAUCCUUACUAUGCCCUUUUACUGUAGAAUUUCCCGAAUCCUAAUGACCCAUUCCACUACAUGGUGUGA